GGCAGUUCUCCUGCACAUGCUCUCUUGCCUGCUGCCAUGUCGGAUAUGCCUUUUUCUCCUCCUUCAUCUUCUGCCAUGAUUGUGAGACCUCCCCAGCCAUGUGGAACUCCCAUAUUACCAAAUGCCUGACUUAAGAAAAAGAAAAUGUAAACAAAAGACAGAUUGAGAUUGAAAGCACGAGAAUUUUAUUCCAGUGACUCAACCCCCAUUGUGUGAAGUAGACCAGAAUGAAUAAAUUGAACUUACUCAGCACCUCAAUUAUUAAAUGCAUCCACAGAAAUUCGUUCUGUCAAAUUAACUGUGGAGGUUGUUGUUGCUAUUGCAGAGAUGGGGUUUUACCAUGCUGCUGCACACUGGUCUUGAACUGCUGGGCUCUGGUGAUCCACCUGCCUCAGCUUCCCAAAGUAAUGGGAAUACAGAAAAGACCAACCACAGUGAUUAAAGGGAUGAAAAAGAUGACCUGCUUGAAAACUCUAAAGAACCCAGUAUUACUUGAAAGAAGAGGAAGCUAAAUGGAACUCUGGUCCUGGCAGUUUCCUUUGGAAUGACAUAAGACAUAGCAAGUAUCAUAAUGUGCUGUUAAAUUUUGAAGAAAGUAUGGAAUUUGAAAAAUUGAAAAGAAAAAG
rnacentral:lncRNA from 1 species